rnacentral:lncRNA from 1 species
GCGGUUUCCUCAUGAGGCUAUCACAUCCCACUGAAUAUGUCAUUGGUUGCACGUAACCGUGCAGGUAUACAUAUAUGUAUUUCUCAGUUCUCAGCAUUCAUUCAUCCAUUAACUCUUUUGUCAUUUUCAUAUUGUUCAUGUUUCAUACUGACCUAUCCUACUCUCUUGCCAUUUGACAAUGAUACAGUAUUUGGUAGUCUCAGUAAAUCCUACCUGACAAUUACAGAUAACGCUCUGGUUCCAGGACAUUCCUUGCAUGAUUCUAUAUUUAUAGAACAUUUUUCUGUCUGAAUGCACUAUAAGUUAUAGUGGCUGACAAGUUAGGAGAAGCCACAUAAAAGCUUCUUUUGAAUCUCUGGGAAGCUGCCACCAGGGCAGAACAAGGCAGGCAGAGUCGACUGGACUCCUCUGGAACCAAAAGUAUUUCAACCUCAACCCUAAAUGGAAGGAAAAAUCCACAGUCUUUAUUACGAAGUGGCCUUUUUCAGGGACAUGAAGAAUUGCUGAAGGAAGCAGACCUUUUUGGAAGUCAAUCCAUUCUGAUUGGGUUUGCUGCUGUGGAACUCUCUGGACUCAGGAUUCUUUGGUGAAUGGGAGCAAGAAUCUCCAAAGUUAGAAGCGAAGCUGCCAAAGUGGCAACUGACCUCAGCCCAGGACCCUCUCCCCAUUUCAGAUUGGAAAUAACGAGAGUACAGGGCUGUGUGUAUCUGAUUCUGCAAUGCGUCUGCCAUGCCUGGGGAGCUGUUGGGAGAGGGAGCACCAUGAAGUUCACCAGCAGCCAGAAGAAGAUUCCUGAGAGGCCAAGCCAAGUGCUACCUAGAGAGGCCAGCAUGUGGGCUCCACAUUUCUGCUGAAGACGCCUGUGCCCACAAUAAGGCCUGUGUUGGUGUCAGUCUGGAAGAUUAGAGAAGCGGGCAGUGCAGAGCGAAGAGGAGACAGCAGUGGCCAGAGGUGAAACACUGAGGUAGCAGCAGAAAUUCAAAGAAAGAUGACCAGGAAAGAACAUAAGACAUUAAUGGAGCUCAUGUGAGGUAUCUAGAGGACCCAAGUGGUGUUUUUAAAAGAAGCUUAUCAAUGCUGGCAGAUUCCUGCCUCGGUGUGUGUCCCACGGUAAGUAAAACAGGCUCAUGUUACUUUCUACGAACCACAGAACAAAGCAUGCCAAACUCCUUAGAAACACAAGGACUCCAAAAGUAUUACAGCACAGAUGGAAAAACUCAAAUGCCUACCCUUGACAGUCUUUGGUUUAACUACUUGACCUGAUUCUCUUCACAGACUAAAAAGGAAAUCCAAUUCUAUUUGAGAAAACUGACAAGACAUUCUUUUCCUUGGAGAAAAUGGACUGGGACAAAUUACACACAAAAAGCUGAAAUCUCCACCACCAGUGGUUGAAAAACAAUCGAGCCUCCAUUAGCAGUUCCUUUGCCCACAGAAUGCUCUCUGAGGAACUACGGGGUUUGGAAAAAGUGCAGGCCUCUAUUCUUCAUCCACGACACAUCAAAGUUGUAAUAAAAACCUGCUUUUCUUUGUG